ACCAAGGGCAUGUUCUCUUUGAAUCCAAUUGGACUUCAACUUGAUAAGCCCAGACAGACCCAAAUCUGGACCAAGGCCAUCGACCUAACCCGUUCCAAAUCCAGCAAAACAGGCGUGUACAAUACAACCAGUACAUACGCGACCUUCUAUUCGUUCUUUGUCUUCUUCAACGCGCUGCAAACCCAAAUCGAAACCCUGUGUAAUCGCGACCUCCAAGCAUCGCGUGACUUGCUCUGCUCUCCCUUAUCUUCUCGUAUGAGGAACGUUCGAUAACAAGGCCAGGUGUCUCAAUCUUGAUGCCUCGUCGUCCUUGCCCUAAAUCAGUGGGCUCACGUCCUCAGUCUUUUGAAAUUGGUAUGGUUGUAGCUAUCAAAGCCUUAUCUUUAGAGAAUUUUGAAUUUGGAAUUCUCCCAUUUGAUUUAGACCCCUUUUUCUUCCCCUUUUCCCCUUACAAAUAGGAUUCUCUUCACUGUAUACCUAAAAGUUUUGGGAAUUCUUAUCUCAAUAUUUCAAAAUUUCGGCUUUUGUGGUUAUUCGAGUUGAGAGUUGAGGCGGUGGUGAAAUCGUCUCUGCCGAACGCAUUCGCCCAAUUUGCUUCCCAAAACCAUACAUUACUGACGGUGUCCCUACUACAGAGGGAGCAGAUUGCGAGAAAUCGGACCCCCCACCUUGUUGAUCAUCGGUGCUUUGCACCUCAGGACAAACUGUCCAGAAUGAAAACGCUGAAGAUGUGCUGAAAAUUACAUAAAAGAUGACCUACGGAGCCAUCAACGGUCCAACGACCCAUCGACGGUCCGUAGGUGGCAACCGUCGCCAUGAAGAUGUUAUGCUGCCAAGGAAAGAUCGGGGGAUUCCUACUAAGUGUGGGUCUAUGAAAGGCAUGACGGUCUGUCCUGGUGAUCCGUUGGUGUUAACAACAUGCAGCCCCAGUACCUGAUUUGAAAAGAUUCUAAGUGUGGGGCAACGAAGGCCAUCGAUGGCCCAUCGUCAUAUCAACGGAUCGUCGUCUUGGUCUGUUGAUGGUAACAGACACUUGGAUAAGAAAGCAGCUAAAAAUAUAGUUAAAGUAUGGACCGACGGAGGUGUUGAAGAUCCGUCGCUGCCUCGACGCUCCGUCGGUAAGGUCAUUGACGUUAGACACAUUUUUGGACAUAUUUCCAUAUUUAGGUUUCCCUUUAUGUUUAGGAUUCUUUUAUUAUAAAUAGGACCAAAAACCUCAUUUUUGGGGUAGGACUCUUUGUUAAUUUUCAAAUUUGGAUUGUUGGUUGUUGAACUUUGGAUUUUGGAAAAUACUUCACUUUUAAGAAUCGAUUCUUACAAUAAUUUGAUUAAUUCAAGUGCUUUUCUGGAUUUUUUU